CGAUAUCAAUAAGCGGAGGAAAAGAAAAUAACAAUGAUUCCCUUAGUAACGGCGAGUGAAGGGGGAAAAGCUCAAAUUUUAAAUCUGUUGGGUUUUACCUUUCAGAGUUGUAUUUUGAAGAAGCGUUUUCCGCGUCUCGGUUGACCCAAAUCCUUUGGGAUAAGGUAUCAUGGAGGGUGAGAAUCCCGUUCGGUUGACCUUAUGACGUUUUACGAUACGCUCUCAAAGAGUCGAGUUGUUUGGGAUUGCAGCUCAAAAUGGGAGGUAAAUUUCUCCUAAGGCUAAAUAUCGGCGAGAGACCGAUAGCGAACAAGUACCGUGAGGGAAAGAUGAAAAGAACUUUGAAAAGAGAGUAAAAUAGUACGUGAAAUUGUUGAAAGGGAAACGAUUGAAGUCAGUCGUACCGACGGAAAAUCAGCUCUUCGAGUGCGAACUUGUGGGCGUACGUGAGCUUUAACCGGCCUCGUUGUUUGCGAUGUUUGUGCAUUUUUGGGUGUACUUUUUCGUAUGGUUGGCCAACGUCAGUCUCGGUUAUCAUAAAAUGAUUGGAGGAAUGUAGCUUCGAUCUUGUAUUGAAGUGUUAUAGCCUCUGGUAGAUGUGGUGAACGAAACUGAGGAUUGCAACGAAUACCCUUCGGGCUAUCCGUCUGACCUCUGAAAGUUGCUUGAGUGUCGAAAGCUUGCUUACGGUCAUCCAUGACGACGGUCAAAAGGUUAGAACGUGAUUACAUUCGUUAAGGAUGUUGACGUA
rnacentral:rRNA from 1 species